ACCCUCCUGUCUCAGACCCCUGAAUUACUGGGAUUACAGUAUGCUAUUGCUGGUUCCCAGGUAGAGAGGGCAGAUGUCCCAGAGACCUCUCAUUCCACACGUGGGACCUUGGAGGCUUUCCCCUGCAGCAGCCACUGAAGGUUUGACAGCUGUCCAGGAGAAAAACUUCCAAUUCUCCAAUCCAGUCAAAUAUUAUGUCUUGCCACCAUCGUUUGA